rnacentral:rRNA from 1 species
UACGUAGGGGGCGAGCGUUGUCCGGAUUCAUUGGGCGUAAAGAGCUCGUAGGCGGCUUGGCAAGUCGGGUGUGAAAACUUCAGGCUCAACCUGGAGCGGCCACUCGAUACUGCCAUGGCUUGAGUCCGGUAGGGGGCCACGGAAUUCCUGGUGUAGCGGUGAAAUGCGCAGAUAUCAGGAGGAACACCGGUGGCGAAGGCGGUGGUCUGGGCCGGAACUGACGCUGAGGAGCGAAAGCGUGGGGAGCGAACAGG